rnacentral:rRNA from 1 species
CCUACGGGAGGCAGCAGUGAGGAAUAUUGGUCAAUGGACGAGAGUCUGAACCAGCCAAGUAGCGUGAAGGAUGACUGCCCUAUGGGUUUUAAACUUCUUUUAUAAAGGAAUAAAACGAGGCACGUGUGCCUUUUUGCAUGUACUUUAUCAAUAAGGAUCGGCUAACUCCGUGCCAGCAGCCGCGGUAAUACGGAGGAUCCGAGCGUUAUCCGGAUUUAUUGGGUUUAAAGGGGACGUAGAUGGGUUGUUAAGUCAGUUGUGAAAGUUUGGGGCUCAACCGUAAAAUUGCAAUUGAUACUGGCAGUCUUGAGUGCAGUUGAGGUAGGCGGAAUUCGUGGUGUAGCGGUGAAAUGCUUAGAUAUCACGAAGAACCCCGAUUGCGAAGGCAGCUUACUAAACUGUGACUGACAUUGAUGCUCGAAAGUGUGGGUAUCAAACAGGAUUAGAUACCCUUGUAGUC